GCGAGGGUGGCGGAACUGGCAGACGCGCCAGACUUAGGAUCUGGUGAGGGAAACCUCUUGCGGGUUCAAGUCCCGCCUCUCGCA
rnacentral:tRNA from 1 species